rnacentral:misc_RNA from 1 species
UCACUCAAAAUGCUUACCAAGCAUCACAGCCACAGGCAGUGUCAUUCCCUCCACAGAAUAAUGCUGCACCGGGAUAUAACAUGCCAUCUUCGCCAUAUAAACCCGCAGCUCAGGCAACAAUGGCCGCACCAGGGAUUCCGGUGAUGACACAGGAAGGGCAGGUUUACAAUGAGGGCUGGAGGACUGGGCUAUUUGAUUGCAUGGAAGAUCCAAUGAACGCUGUGACAACAGCGUGCUUCCCAUGCAUCACAUUUGGCCAAGUUGCAGAAAUUAUUGACAAUGGCCACGCCUCAUGUGGGACGAGUGGACUGUUGUAUGGUUUGAUCGCGGCCUUCAUAGGGUUGCCAUGCAUAUUGUCAUGCAGCUAUCGAACGAAG